rnacentral:rRNA from 1 species
GACGAACGCUGGCGGCGUGCUUGACACAUGCAAGUCGAACGGAAAGGCCUGCUUUCCCUUGUGGAUUGCGGGUACUCGAGUGGCGAACGGGUGAGUAACACGUGAGUGAUCUGCCCCCAACUUGGGUAUAAGCCUGGGAAACUGGGUCUAAUUCCCGAUAGGACUGCAGGGUGGUGCCUGUGGUGGAAAACGAUUUUCUAGUGGUUGGGGAUGAGCUCGCGGCCUAUCAGCUUGUUGGUGGGGUAAUGGCCUACCAAGGCGGCGACGGGUAGCCGGCCUGAGAGGGUGGACGGCCACAGUGGGACUGAGAUACGGCCCAGACUCCUACGGGAGGCAGCAGUGGGGAAGAUUGCACAAGGGGCGGAAGCCUGAUGCAGCGAGGCCGCGUGGGGGAUGACGGCCUUCGGGUUGUAAACUCCUUUCGACCGCGAGGAAGCCACCUGGUUGGAAGGGUGGUGACGGUAGUGGUAGAAGAAGCACCGGCUAACUACGUG